rnacentral:rRNA from 2 species
GCCCAGAAGCGGGGGACAACAUUUGGAAACAGAUGCUAAUACCGCAUAACAUCGUUGUUCGCAUGAACAACGCUUAAAAUAUGGCUUUUCGCUAUCCCUUCUGGAUGGACCUGCGGUGCAUUAGCUUGUUGGUGGGGUAACGGCCUACCAAGGCGAUGAUGCAUAACCGAGUUGACAGACUGAUAGGGCAAAAUGGGACUGAGACACGGCCCAUACUCCUACGGGAGGCAUCAGUAGGGAAUCUUCCACAAUGGGCGCAAGCCUGAUGGAGCAACACCGCGUGAGUGAAGAAGGGUUUCGGCUCGUAAAGCUCUGUUGUUAAAGAAGAACACGUAUGAGAGUAACUGUUCAUACGUUGACGGUAUUUAACCAGAAAGUCACGGCUAACUACGUGCCAUCAGCCGCGGUAAUACGUAGGUGGCAAGCGUUAUCCGGAUUUAUUG